CUGCAUCUGUACAGGAGGCCUCUAUCAAAAUACGCUGAGGGUGUGUCUUCUAUAGCUCCUCAUGUUCUCCUCAAAACAAUGAAAGAGGCUGCUGAACUAGGCAGGGGUCGGCUGAAGAGUUCCGCCUCCCACGGGUUAGGAGGCCAAGAUGUCUGCUUUGGACCUUUUCCCUAGCCAACAGGAUGUUUUUAUUUCUCUCACCAGCGAGUAUAUCCAUGCCACAUUCCCUUAUCCCACUUCCUCAAUAAAACUGUCCUUUCAUUUA